UACGUAGGGUGCGAGCGUUGUCCGGAAUUAUUGGCGUAAAGAGCUCGUAGGCGGUUUGUCGCGUCGGGAGUGAAAUCCACUGGCUUAACUGGUGGCUUGCUUCGAUACGGGCAGACUGGAGGUAUGCAGGGAGAACGGAAUUCCUGGUGUAGCGGUGAAAUGCGCAGAUAUCAGGAGGAACACCGGUGGCGAAGGCGGUCUCUGGGCAUGUCCUGACGCUGAGGAGCGAAAGUGUGGGAGCGAACAGG
rnacentral:rRNA from 1 species